rnacentral:rRNA from 1 species
GGACUACAAGGGUUUCUAAUCCUGUUCGCUCCCCACGCUUUCGCUCCUCAGCGUCAGUUCCGGCCCAGACCACCGCCUUCGCUACUGGUGUUCCUCCUGAUAUCUGCGCAUUUCACCGCUACACCAGGAAUUCCAUGGUCCCCUACCGGACUCAAGUCAUGGCAGUAUCGGAUGGCAGCCCCAGGUUGAGCCUGGGGAUUUAACACCCGACUUACCAAACCGCCUACGAGCUCUUUACGCCCAAUAAAUCCGGACAACGCUUGCACCCUACGUAUUACCGCGGCUGCUGGCAC